rnacentral:rRNA from 1 species
CUGCUGCCUCCCGUAGGAGUUUGGGCCGUGUCUCAGUCCCAAUGUGGCCGUUCACCCUCUCAGGCCGGCUACUGAUCGUCGCCUUGGUGGGCCGUUACCUCACCAACCAGCUAAUCAGACGCGGGUCCAUCUCAUACCACCGGAGUUUUUCACACCGGACCAUGCGGUCCUGUGCGCUUAUGCGGUAUUAGCAGUCAUUUCUAACUGUUAUCCCCCUGUAUGAGGCAGGUUACCCACGCGUUACUCACCCGUCCG